rnacentral:rRNA from 1 species
UACAAAAAAGGCAAAUGUUGUUCGGAAUCACUGGGCGUAAAGGGAGCGUAGGCGGGUUCUUAAGUUAGGUGUUUAAUCCCUGGGCCCAACCCCGGACCGGCACUUAAAACUGGGAAUCUUGAAUAGUAGAAAGGUCAGUAAAAUUAAAAAUGUAGCGGUAAAAUGCAUAGAGAUCCCCAAGAACACCAAUUGCGAAAGCGGCUAACUAAACACAUAUUAACACUAAGACUCGAAAGCAUAGGGAGCAAACAGG